ACUUAACUAAUAUAAAAAGUAUACUUGACUUCCAAUCAAGAGGUUUGAACAACAAGUUAAGUA
rnacentral:tRNA from 1 species